CCUACGGGGGGCAGCAGUGGGGAAUAUUGCACAAUGGGGGAAACCCUGAUGCAGCGACGCCGCGUGAGUGAAGAAGUCUUUCGGUUUGUAAAGCUCUAUCAGCAGGGAAGAAAAUGACGUUACCUGAUUAAGAAACCCCGGCAAACUACGUGCCAGCAGCCGCGGUAAUACGUAGGGGGGAAGCGUUAUCCGGAUUUACUGGGUGUAAAGGGAGCGUCGCGGGGAGUACAAGUCUGGAGUGAAAUGCCGGGGCUUAACCCCGGUACUGCUUUGGAAACGGUGCAGCUAGAGUGCAGGAGAGGGAAGUGGAAUUCCUAGUGUAGCGGUGAAAUGCGUAGAGAUUAGGAGGAACACCAGUGGCGAAGGCAGCUUACUGGACUGUAACUGACGUUGAGGCUCGAAAGCGUGGGGAGCGAACAGGAUUAGAUACCCCAGUAGUC
rnacentral:rRNA from 1 species